rnacentral:ncRNA from 1 species
GUGAGCCAUGUGAUGGGAAACCUUCCCGUAUGGUUUGGAGAGCACUAAAUUAGAAUUAGAGGUUUACCACCAUAUCAUUAUAUGUAAGGGGAGCUCGCUUGAUUCGCAUAUUGGUCCGACUCUUAAUUCACUUCUGACCUUUU